AAUCAACGCUGGCGGCGUGCCUAACACAUGCAAGUCGAACGCGAAAGGGGCUUCGGCCCUGAGUAGAGUGGCGUCCGGGUGAGUAACGCGUGGGUAAUCUACCCUCGGGUGGGAAUAACCAAUCGAAAGAUUGGCUAAUACCGCAUAAUGCAGCGGCUCGACAUCGAGACAGUUGUUAAAGCAGCAAUGCGCCAGAGGAGAGCCUGCGUCUGAUAGCUUGUUGCGGGUAACGCCACCAAGGCUACGAUCAGUAGCUGGUCUGAGAGGACGGCCAGCCACAAUGGCACUGACACACGGGCCAGACUCCUACGGGAGGCAGCAGUGGGAAUUUUGGGCAAUGGCGCAAGCCUGACCCAGCAACGCCGCGUGAGGGAGGAAAUCCUUCGGGAU
rnacentral:rRNA from 1 species